UAGCAUAUCAAUAAGCGGAGGAAAAGAAACCAACAGGGAUUGCCCUAGUAACGGCGAGUGAAGCGGCAACAGCUCAAAUUUGAAAUCUGGCCCUCGGGUCCGAGUUGUAAUUUGUAGAGGAUGCUUUUGGUGAGGUACCUUCCGAGUUCCCUGGAACGGGACGCCAUAGAGGGUGAGAGCCCCGUCUGGUUGGAUACCAAACCUCUGUAAAGCUCCUUCGACGAGUCGAGUAGUUUGGGAAUGCUGCUCUAAAUGGGAGGUAUAUGUCUUCUAAAGCUAAAUACCGGCCAGAGACCGAUAGCGCACAAGUAGAGUGAUCGAAAGAUGAAAAGCACUUUGAAAAGAGAGUUAAAAAGUACGUGAAAUUGUUGAAAGGGAAGCGCUUAUGACCAGACUUGGACUUGGUUGAUCAUCCUGGGUUCUCCCUGGUGCACUCUUCCAGUUCAGGCCAGCAUCAGUUCGCUGCGGGGGAUAAAAGUUUUGGGAAUGUGGCUCCCUCGGGAGUGUUAUAGCCCAUUUCAUAAUACCCUGCUCCGGACUGAGGUUCGCGCAUCUGCAAGGAUGCUGGCGUAAUGGUCAUCAGCGACCCGUCUUGAAACACGGACCAAGGAGUCGUCUUCGUAUGCGAGUGUUCGGGUGUUAAACCCCUACGCGUAAUGAAAGUGAACGCAGGUGAGAGCUUCGGCGCAUCAUCGACCGAUCCUGAUGUUCUCGGAUGGAUUUGAGUAAGAGCAUACGGGGCCGGACCCGAAAGAAGGUGAACUAUGCCUGUAUAGGGUGAAGCCAGAGGAAACUCUGGUGGAGGCUCGCAGCGGUUCUGACGUGCAAAUCGAUCGUCAAAUAUGGGCAUGGGGGGCGAAAGACUAAUCGAACCUUCUAGUAGCUGGUUUCCGC
rnacentral:rRNA from 1 species